rnacentral:lncRNA from 1 species
CAGCGCCCUCUGUCCUCCUGGCCGUUUUCCUGAACUCCUAACCUCAGUCAAUACUGCCUCGGGACCUGGCGCUGCCUGGGAGAUCCAGAAGAAAGGAAGCAUCUUGGCCCCUGCCUUGGGGGCGACACGACCGUCCCCAAACACAGCGAGUCACUGGCCUGGGUCUUUGUGCAGAGGCCCCUCUAGGAGCGGGGAACCAACGAUGGCACGAACAUUGAUUUGAGGAGGAUGCUUCGCAGUUUACGAAAAAAUGAGUGCUAGAGGCGUUCAGAAACGGGAAAGAUCACUUUGUGCUCCUGUGAUCUGAAGGCUGCGUGAAGAAGAUGAGGCUUGGAAAAUAGGUUCUGUCAGGUGAGCUGUUGUGCUGUAUGUCUGACCUGAAUUGCCUUUUAGGAGGGAAUCAGUACUUGGAAGCUGGAAUACAUCAGGGAUACCCCUAAAACGAG